UAGCACUUGUUGAUUUAAAAAAAUAACCAGCAGCUCAUGCCACAUGGAGAAAAUAAUCUCAGUGCCACAAACCAGGGGGAGAACUGGAAAUGCUACCGGUGGGAGACAAGGAGGCUUUGGGGCAUUCAAGGUUUGCCAUUUUACGGAUACUCAGACCCACCAGAGCCCUUUCCUUUCCCACCGGUUUCUUUCCUCAGACAGGGAGCAUGGCUAAGAGGGAACUUACAGGGCAGCUAGACUUUGUCGUCCUCUAAAAUUAACACCACGUCUGGCUGCUCCCACACGCCAGGAGUAAGUUUUCUGAACAUUCCCCCGCCAAGUUAUCCUGGGAGGUGAACAUCGCAUUUUUUCUUGUACGGACGGAGAGACGGAUCUUGACCGUCGUUGGGGCUGUGCUCACCUGGCAGGUUUCAGACCUACGUGCUAAGGACAGCCCUGAGGAAGGCCCUUCGCAGCAUAGUCGGCUUCUCCAGCUGGCAUUUUGAUCACUUUUGAAACAGGUUAAUGCUCCUGAAUGCGGCCAUGUCGUUCAGGCAUUGACAUCUUGGCGAGGUGCGCAGGGUAGUUUGCUUUCCCAAUGUGUAAAUUGCGGCAGCUCCAGCCUUGCCUGUCAAAAGGCAUUUUGGCCAUUUGCGGGCUGGCGGCUUGGCUGUGCCAUGCCAGCCAGCCUCCCUCCAUGGAGAGCUGCCGGCUGGGCGAUGGCCAGCACCCUGCGCAGCCCUGGCCCCCACCACCGGGCCCUGCCCAUCUGAGUCUCUGCUGCAGACUCCUGCCUCAGUUCUGCUGCUCAAGGCUUGAGACAAGAGGGGGGAUCGCUGGGCAGCCCAGGUGGGAAACCAGCAAUGUCUAGCACAGGCACAGCAGUACAGCUUAAACUGGACUUUUCCUGAUCUAGUUUGUAUCUCUCCAGACGGGCUUUUCCCUCCUGCCAGGGAGAGCUGCCCAGCUGAGCCUUCAGCAGAAGUACGUUGCUGGUGGAGUUCACCGACACUGCUUAGCAAAGAUUCAGCUUCAGCCAUCGCCCUCAGGAAACUGAUUCAAUUCUUCUGCAUCUGGUGACUACUGCCUGAGGUCGUGGUCUUUCGUAAAUGAGCUGAUGCAAUGCCAGGGCCAUGGUGCAGGGCAGCGAUGAGCAGAGCCAUGCCACAGGCAGCACAGGCCAUGGACUUCAGCACGGGGUCUUUUUAGAAAUGCACGGUCUAACGUAAGGCUGUUUCCACCUUCCCGAGAAGUCCUCCCCACAGAUGCAUGACCCAGCUGAGGCACCGUGCUAGUGAAAAGCUCUCGGAGAGUACUUUUUGUCAGAGGGUCUCUCAGUUUUUUAUCAAGGUUGGGGAAAAGAGAGGCACAAACCAGCAAUGGGGGUUAUCACAAGACGCUAUCUGUGAGCAGAGUCCAUAGGAGAAAGAACGGUUGCAUUCCUCUCCUGGGAUGCACUAACCAGCCUGGUUUUGCUACCACAGUGCCAAGACGCAGGAAAAAAGCAUCAAGGCUAAGCUAAGGAUGUUUCACCAAAACAUUUUCCUUCCUACUCUCCCCUCGGGGGAAAAAAAAAAAAAAAAAAGUAUUGCUUUUCCAUUUGGCAGUAAGUUUUGCAAGGAGAUUUCAUCUGGUGUCGACAUAUUGGAAUUUUUAGUGAAUUUCCUCAGUUACCCCCUCCAAAAAUGUUGAAAAAGCCACAUCCACAAAAAAGCUUGCUGCAAGGGCUUUGCAAGGUUUGUUUCCUGUUGUUUGUUUGUCUUCUUUGCCAGCAUUCCCUGUCUACCCCUUUUUCUUUUUCUUCGAUUUCACAACUGGAAGUUGAAAAAAAGAAGAGGGGACUCAAAUAAAAGAGGGGAUAAGCUGAAAACUGGGGAAAGAGCUGAGCCCUACCACUUCCCCUUUGCCAGAAAUAAAGGUUUGCAAAAAUUC